AACGAUAUACAUGUAAGUCAACCCUGUGCCAUUGCAGACUGAAUCAAGUUAAAUACGUUACCAUUAGGAAGCUUUGAGCAUGUAAACAUUUAAGAGACCUAAGAAACAAAGUCAAAUGCUUUUAAGAUUAAUUCUGCAGUUGGGUUGUCAGAGACUGGAACAAUCUACGAAUCUCAGUGAAGACCUGUUCGAGUCCAAUAUUCAGCUAGCCUCAUGUAAAAUCUGGUAUUAUUUUUAUAUCAAGGCCAUAAGGUUCGUGGUCGCAGCUAAUAUAAAAAGCAAAGGGUUAUUAAGAUUGUGCCAGUAAGAUUAAGACCGGUCGCAAUUGUCACAAAUGUUGGCUUACUAAUUUGAGGAGAUACGCAAUAUACGCCCGUGAUAUAACUCUCUUUAGUUAAAGUUUUACUGCAAUUUUGCUAUUUUUCCCAGAAAGGAUUUUUUUGGUUGGUCACAGGUUUUCAUCUGCUGAUUGUGGAGAAGGCGUUGCCUAUUGGUUAACAAACCGGAUUUUUAAUCCGGAGGUUCCAGGUUCAAAUUCUCCCUGCCACUAGAUGGAUUUGUGUUCGGUGGACCGGAAUUCAACUCCUCCACGUCUUGCUAAUAGCCAACUGGUCAGCCUCCGACUAGCUGGGAUUUUUAGUUCUAGUUGCGAUAUGUCUCUGAAGUUAUAGUAUCCCCAAUUAGCACAGAAGCGCUAAAUACCAUGACACUUGAAUAAAGUAAUUUAUUUAUUUCUUUUUUUAUUGGUAACCAUCUAAUCGGCUUCUUGCAUUUCAAAUAAACUUGCAUUCAGUUCUUUCUUUCAUUCUUCAUUUCCGCAGUUGGUCGGUCGCUCCUUUGAUAAAACCCAAGAUCGACUUUCUGUCUUUCAGAUUCCAGACCACGCCACAAACGAUUGUCCAUUGACAUUAAUUCCCUGCCCUUAUGAACAGAUAGGCUGCAAAAGAAAGGUUCAACGACGAGAAAUGGAAUCGCAUCUUGAAUCUGACGUGAAACCCCAUCUUGACUUAGCUUGUGUGAAACUUGAAACACGGACUUUUAUUUGGAAGAUUGAACACUUUACUGAAGUUUUGAGGCAAGCAAAGGCCGAGGAAAAGAUAGCUAUAGAUAGUUCUCCAUUUUACACUGACAGAACAGAAAGUUAUGGGUACAAGUUAAAAAUAGCUGUUGAAGCUAAUGGUUCGGGGUCUGCUAAGAAUGCUUACCUGUCGGUGUUCAUUGUCGUUAUGAAAGAUAAACUCAGUGAGACCGUUUAAGAAUUGCUCUUCAGCCCGAAGGAGAGGAUUUAGGGGGUGAGGGUGAAUUAGGUGGCUAAUCACCCCCCUUUUGGAGCCCAUCUGAGCAUACGGACAGUAAACCACGGACAGCGGACAGUGGUCGUUAGUAUGAGAUG